rnacentral:tRNA from 1 species
AAAAAGAUAAGCCCAAUGCGGGGCUCGAACCCGCGACAACCAGAUUAAGAGUCUGGUGCUCUACCGACUGAGCUAACCGGGCGGCGAUG